rnacentral:rRNA from 1 species
UACAGAGGGUGCAAGCGUUGUUCGGAAUUAUUGGGCGUAAAGAGCGUGUAGGCGGCCCGAUUAGUCCGCUGUGAAAAGUCCAGGGCUCAACCCUGGAAUGCCGGUGGAUACUGUCGGGCUAGAGUCCGGAAGGGGCGAGUGGAAUUCCGUGGUGUAGCGGUGAAAUGCGCAGAUAUCAGGAGGAACACCAACUGGCGAAGGCAGCUCGCUGGGACGUGACUGACGCUGAGACGCGAAAAGCGUGGGGAGCAAACAGG